ACUCAAAGGAAUAGACGGGAGCCCGCACAAGCAGUGGAGUAUGUGGUUUAAUUCGACGCAACGCGAAGAACCUUACCAGGAUUUGACAUCCACGGAAGCCGGCGUAAUGGCUGGCGUGCCCUUCGGGGAGCCGUGAGACAGGUGGUGCAUGGUUGUCGUCAGCUCGUGUCGUGAGAUGUUGGGUUAAGUCCCGCAACGAGCGCAACCCUUGUUGUCAGUUGCUACGCAAGAGCACUUUGGCAAGACUGCCGUUGACAAAACGGAGGAAGGCGGGGACGACGUCAAAUCAUCAUGCCCCUUAAGUUCUGGGCUACACACGUACUACAAUGGCGCAAACAAAGGGAAGCGAAGGAGCGAUCUGGAGCGAAUCUCAAAAAAGGCGCCUCAGUUCGGAUUGCAGGCUGCAACUCGCCUGCAUGAAGUCGGAAUUGCUAGUAAUCGCGGGUCAUCAUACCGCGGUGAAUACGUUCCCGGGCUUUGUACACACCGCCCGU
rnacentral:rRNA from 1 species